UACGAGAGGUCCAAACGUUAUUCGGAAUUACUGGGCUUACAGAGUUCGUAGGCGGUUCUACAAGUGAGGUGUGAAAGCCCUCGGCUCAACCGAGGAACUGCGCUUCAAACUGUAGAACUAGAGGGAGAUAGAGGUGAGCAGAACUGAUGGUGGAGCGGUGAAAUGCGUUGAUAUCAUCAGGAAUACCGGAGGCGAAGGCGGCUCACUGGGUCUCUUCUGACGCUGAGGAACGAAUGCUAGGGGAGCAAACGGG
rnacentral:rRNA from 1 species